AGUUUACAACUCCCAAACCCAAUGUGAACGUUACCAAACUGUUGCCUCGGCGGGAUCUCUGCCCCGGGUGCGUCGCAGCCCCGGACCAAGGCGCCCGCCGGAGGACCAACCAAAACUCUUAUUGUAUACCCCCUCGCGGGUUUUUUUAUAAUCUGAGCCUUCUCGGCGCCUCUCGUAGGCGUUUCGAAAAUGAAUCAAAACUUUCAACAACGGAUCUCUUGGUUCUGGCAUCGAUGAAGAACGCAGCGAAAUGCGAUAAGUAAUGUGAAUUGCAGAAUUCAGUGAAUCAUCGAAUCUUUGAACGCACAUUGCGCCCGCCAGUAUUCUGGCGGGCAUGCCUGUCCGAGCGUCAUUUCAACCCUCGAACCCCUCCGGGGGGUCGGGGUUGGGGAUCGGCCCUCCCUUAGCGGGUGGCCGUCUCCGAAAUACAGUGGCGGUCUCGCCGCAGCCUCUCCUGCGCAGUAGUUUGCACACUCGCAUCGGGAGCGCGGCGCGUCCACAGCCGUUAAACACCCAACUUCUGAAAUGUUGACCUCGGAUCAGGUAGGAAUACCCGCUGAACUUAAGCAUAUCAAUAAGCGGAGGAAAAGAAACCAACAGGGAUUGCCCCAGUAACGGCGAGUGAAGCGGCAACAGCUCAAAUUUGAAAUCUGGUCCCUAGGGNCCGAGUUGUAAUUUGUAGAGGAUGCUUUUGGUGAGGUGCCGCCCGAGUUCCCUGGAAACGGGACGCCACAGAGGGUGAGAGCCCCGUCUGGCUGGCCGCCGAGACCUCUGUAAAGCUCCUUCGACGAGUCGAGUAGUUUGGGAAUGCUGCUCAAAAAUGGGAGGUAUAUGUCUUCUAAAGCUAAAUAUUGGGCCAGAGACCGAUAGCGCACAAGUA
rnacentral:rRNA from 1 species